UUUGGCCUACGGGACGCAGCAGUCGGGAAUAUUGCGCAAUGGAGGAAACUCUGACGCAGUGACGCCGCGUAUAGGAAGAAGGUUUUCGGAUUGUAAACUAUUGUCGUGAGGGAAGAAAUUCACAGUACCUCAGGAGGAAGCUCCGGCUAACUAUGUGCCAGCAGCCGCGGUAAUACAUAGGGAGCAAGCGUUAUCCGGAUUUAUUGGGUGUAAAGGGUGCGUAGACGGGAAAUUAAGUUAGUUGUGAAAUCCCUCGGCUUAACUGAGGAACUGCAACUAAAACUGAUUUUCUUGAUUACUGGAGG
rnacentral:rRNA from 1 species